UACGGAGGAUGCAAGCGUUAUCCGGAUUCAUUGGGUUUAAAGGGUGCGUAGGCGGGGAGGUAAGUCAGUGGUGAAUGCCUGCAGCUUAACUGCAGAAGUGCCAUUGAUACCGUCGCUCUUGAAUGCGGUUGAGGCAGGCGGAAUGUGUAAUGUAGCGGUGAAAUGCUUAGGUAUUACACAGAACACCGAUUGCGUAGGCAGCUUGCUAAACCGUGAUUGACGCUGAGGCACGAAAGCGUGGGGAGCAAACAGG
rnacentral:rRNA from 1 species